rnacentral:misc_RNA from 1 species
CUUGUACACACCGCCCGUCACACCAUGAGAGUUUGUAACACCCAAAGUCGGUGGGGUAACCUUUUAGGAACCAGCCGCCUAAGGUGGGACAGAUGAUUAGGGUGAAGUCGUAACAAGGUAGCGUAAGAGAACCUGCGGCUGGAUCACCUCCUUUCUAAGGAAUAUUACGGAAACCUACACACUCGUCGAAACUUUGUUUAGUUUUGAG